CCUACGGGGGGCAGCAGUGAGGAAUAUUGGUCAAUGGGCUUACGCCUGAACCAGCCAAGUCGCGUGAGGGAAGACUGCCCUAUGGGUUGUAAACCUCUUUUGUCAGGGAGCAACGCCGGCUACGUGUAGCCGGACUGAGAGUACCUGAAGAAAAAGCAUCGGCUAACUCCGUGCCAGCAGCCGCGGUAAUACGGAGGAUGCGAGCGUUAACCGGAUUUACUGGGGGUAAAGGGUUCGUAGGCGGGAUGCCCAGUCAGCGGUAAAACCGCGGGGCCAAACUGGGAACCGCCGUUGAAACUGGCAAACUGGAGUGGGUGAGAGGGUAGUGGAAUGCGAGGUGUAGGAGUGAAAUGCGUAGAUAUCGCGAAGAACAUCGGUGGCGAAGGCGACAAUCUGGCACAUAACUGACGCUGAGGCGCGAAAGCGUGGGUAGCGAACAGGAUUAGAUACCCUUGUAGUC
rnacentral:rRNA from 1 species